rnacentral:rRNA from 1 species
AAUAUUGGACAAUGGGGGCAACCCUGAUCCAGCCAUGCCGCGUGUGUGAAGAAGGCCNNNUGGUUNUCAAGCACUUUAAGCAUNGACNAAGACUCCCUGGUUAAUACCCAUGGACGAUGACAUUAGCUGCAGAAUAAGCACCGGCUAACUCUGUGCCAGCAGCCGCGGUAAUACAGAGGGUGCAAGCGUUAAUCGGAAUUACUGGGCGUAAAGCGAGCGUAGGUGGCUUAAUAAGUCAGAUGUGAAAGCCCCGGGCUUAACCUGGGAACGGCAUCUGAUACUGGUAGGCUAGAGUAGGUGAGAGGAAGGUAGAAUUCCAGGUGUAGCGGUGAAAUGCGUAGAGAUCUGGAGGAAUACCGAUGGCGAAGGCAGCCUUCUGGCAUCAUACUGACACUGAGGUUCGAAAGCGUGGGUAGCAAAC